rnacentral:rRNA from 1 species
AACGAACGCUGGCGGCAGGCCUAAAACAUGCAAGUCGAACGCUGUAGCAAUACAGAGUGGCGCACGGGUGAGUAACACGUGGGAAUGUGCCUUUUGGUACGGAACAACUUUUGGAAACGAAAGCUAAUACCGUAUGGUCCCUUCGGGGUAAAGAUUUAUCGCCAAAAGAGCAGCCCGCGUCUGAUUAGCUAGUUGGUGAGGUAAUGGCUCACCAAGGCGACGAUCAGUAGCUGGUCUGAGAGGACGAUCAGCCACACUGGGACUGAGACACGGCCCAGACUCCUACGGGAGGCAGCAGUUAGGAAUAUUGGACAAUGGGCGCAAGCCUGAUCCAGCCAUGCCGCGUGAGUGAUGAAGGCCUUCGGGUUGUAAAGCUCUUUAGCCGAUGAAUAUAAUGACUGUAGUCGGAAAAUAAGCCCCGGCUAACUUCGUGCCAGCAGCCGCAGUAA